UCAGAAAAGCUCUUAAUAUACUGCUUCAUGUUAGAAGCUGUCAGCACCAUUGGCAAGCACUAAAGAUGAACAUGAAGGAGUUGUACUUUUCUGGAUGUGAUUAAUUCUGGCACAGUACUUGUUCCCAUGGCUGAGCCCUGUGUGCACUGCUGUUCAUGUCAGGAUUUCCAGUUUAAGGAAAGACCAUUCCCCUGUGAGGGUCAAAUGCUGACCACGUCCAGGAUGUCUUGCAGCCUCUGACUGUGGCUGAGCAUGAUUUCAAUAUCAUCAGCAAAUCAUGUGAGCUCCUCCCAGAGCAGAAGUGAUUUGCUUUCCAGCCAUGGAAAUACAAGUGACCAAGGAUGGCGAGGGAAGUCGUGCGUUCUGUUCCAUUUCCCGGGAGUCUGUCACUGUCCUGCACUGGCAGGUAAGGAUUUACCUCAUGGCAAUCAGGCUGGGAA